UACGAAGGGGGGCUAGCGUUGCUCGGAUUUACUGGGCGUAAAGGGCGCGUAGGCGGCAAUUCAAGUCAUCUGUGAAAUCUCCGGGCUUAACCCGGAACGGUCAGGUGAUACUGUUUUGCUAGAGUGCGGAAGGGGCAAUCGGAAUUCUCGGUGUAGCGGUGAAAUGCGUAGAUAUCGAGAGGAACACCAGAGGUGAAGACGGGUUGCUGGGCCGACACUGACGCUGACAGCGCGAAAGCCAGGGGAGCAAACGGG
rnacentral:rRNA from 1 species